ACACAGCAUCCACCUGAGUUGUGGUCAAGGCACGCAUUUUCUCCAAGAAGCCAAUCUAAUAUGUUGUUGAACAAUAUUUACGAGUCAUUCAAUAAGUAUAUAGCUGAUGCUCGAGACAAGCCUAUUAUUAUUUUGUUUGACUAUUAAAAAGCUCUUGAUGCAGCAAUUCCAAGCAAAAAGAGUAGGUUUAGACAAUUACAGAGCUUAUUGUCCAAAGAUUCAGAAGAAGUUGGAGAGAAAUAAGUUAGAGGCUAUGGGUUGCAAUUGCAUACGGGGAGA
rnacentral:lncRNA from 1 species